rnacentral:rRNA from 1 species
CCUACGGGGGGCUGCAGUGGGGAAUAUUGCACAAUGGGGGAAACCCUGAUGCAGCGACGCCGCGUGAGUGAAGAAGUACUUCGUUAUGUAAAGCUCUAUCAGCAGGGAAGAAAAUGACGGUACCUGAGUAAGAAGCGCCGGAUAACCACGUGCCAGCAGCCGAGGUAAUACGUAGGGGGCAAGCGUUAUCCGGAUUUAAUGGGUGGAAAGGGAGCGUAGACGGCAGUGCAAGUCUGGAGUGAAAGGCGGGGGCUCAACCCCCGGACUGCUCUGGAAACUGUACGGCUGGAGUGCAGGAGAGGUAAGUGGAAUUCCAAGUGUAGCGGUGAAAUGCGUAGAUAUUAGGAGGAACACCAGUGGCGAAGGCGGCUUACUGGACUGUAACUGACGUUGAGGCUCGAAAGCGUGGGGAGCAAACAGGAUUAGAAACCCUGGUAGUC